UCCGUUAUGGUGUAGUGGCUAACAUUAUCGCCUCUCCUAACUUGCCUCGCAGGUAGUCGCGAUAUCCCAGGGUUCAAUUCCCUGCAACGGAA